AUUGCUGUAAAAGAGUUCCCACUGCUGCAGGGUACAGUAGUGCACUCCUUUCAUUCCAGCACCUGAGAGGCAGAGGCAGAACUCAGUCAGUCGGGAAGUCACACUGUCCUGAAGUGAAGAUUAAGGCACUGUAGAUAUUGAGAAAGCCAUUUGAGGUCACAGUCUGCACAAGAGGGAACAUGUCACCCAGGGGUGGAGGAAGUACAAGGAGACAUUCAACUGGCACACCAGCCUGAAGGCGACAAGGCAUUGGAUACCGUUCAGGUUACUUCUUCCAAGGCCUUGCUCCGGAUGUGACAACUCUCUUUCCUUCUGAUGAGUUUCCAGUUCAAGGUCAGAUGCAGUUUGGGAGGAAGCAUUCCUCGAGAGCCGAGUGUAAGGACACGCGCUCCGUGCGAGCCACAGCCUUUGGACUCCAUUCUGGACUUUGACUGCUGCGUGGAGUAAGGCUGGAACACUGACUCAUUGCACAUGCUCCCAGACAGUGAGUAAGCGAUCCCCACUGAAGUGCAGGGCUCAUGCUAACAGAAAGAACCUGGCAAGCUUGCACUUGACCACUGGAUCUGCAUUGGAAGAGAAGGCAGCAACCGCAAUCACAGGAGCCCCCUCCUCCGUUCUGCAUGGUCUGCCUUUCUCUACCUUCCCCUGCUGUGGGCCACCUCUGUUGCCUGCUGCCAAGGAACCCUUUUACCAGCCCAGCUUUCUUUGCUCCCUCCUCCAGAGCCUUAGAUUCUUGGGUCUCACUCCCAGUAGAUGCUGUGUCAGUUUUUCCCUGGUUCUGUGACUUCUGUCCUUAGUAACGAUGGGCAGCUACAUGUGAAUGGGCAAGUGUAAGAGAGAGGACACGGGAGGCAAAGAAAGAAGUGAGUGCAUGAAGGGCUGAGUGCUUAGUUGAUGAGCUGAACUUCUGGGACUUAAACAUACCAGGAUGUUCUCCCCUUCAGCUGGACUGUGUUACUUCAGGAUCUUUAGAUCCUUUGAGAAAAAGAGAAUAUUCCUAUCGUAAACCUAUUAAGACCUAGAUGUUGUCAUUUGGGUGUUUCUUCCUGAUGUUUAGUAAAGAGGGCUGGAGAGAUGGCUCAGUGGCAAGAGCAUUGGGUGCUCUUGGAGAGGAUCCAGUUCAGUUCCUAGCACCCACAUGCUGGCUUACAACCACUUCCAGUUCCAGGGGGUCUAAUGCUCUCUUCUGGCUUCUGUGUACACCUAUACGAAGGUAAAACACCCAUUUGCAUAAAAUAAAAUGGAAAGAAAAAAAAGACUCAGUAAAGAGGCCUGGAGAGAUGCUCCCAGGUGAAGAGUUUGCUGAGCAUCAAUCCCAGCACCCA